UGGCCAUUCUAAAAGCUCUAAUAAUCUGAUUUUCUUGAUCAAAUAUAUUAAUCAAUCCUUGCAUAAUCUCAUGAUCAAUGACUGAUGAAUUGUCAUCACAACCUAAUGCGCUAAUUUUAUUAUUGAGUUAAUUCUCUAUAUUAUAUAUAUAUAUACUUGUGCAAAUUUCGAUUUAUCUCCAUCAAUAAGCAAUAGUGAACCCAUUCUAUUAUGAUUCUAACAAUGAAUUCAAAAAAUAUAUGGUCCUCAUCUAGUGUUAAUUUUUUUAUCAAUUUUUUCUCCUAUUGAUGUAAAUGCAAAUAUUGAAUUGUACAUUCUAAUAUUGUCAUGAAAUUU
rnacentral:lncRNA from 1 species